rnacentral:rRNA from 1 species
GACGAACGCUGGCGGCGUGCUUAACACAUGCCAGUCGUACGGUAAGGCCCUUUCGGGGGUCCACGAGUGGCGAACGGGUGAGUAACACGUGAGUAACCUGCCCACAACUUUGGGAUAACGCUAGGAAACUGGUGCUAAUACUGGAUAUGUGCUCCUGCUGCAUGGUGGGGGUUGGAAAGCUCCGGCGGUUGUGGAUGGACUCGCGGCCUAUCAGCUUGUUGGUGGGGUAGUGGCCUACCAAGGCGGCGACGGGUAGCCGGCCUGAGAGGGUGACCGGCCACAUUGGGACUGAGAUACGGCCCAGACUCCUACGGGAGGCAGCAGUGGGGAAUAUUGCACAAUGGGCGCAAGCCUGAUGCAGCAACGCCGCGUGCGGGAUGACGGCCUUCGGGUUGUAAACCGCUUUCAGCAGGGACGAAGCUUUUUGUGACGGUACCUGCAGAAGAAGCACCGGCUAACUACGUG